rnacentral:rRNA from 1 species
UAUUAACGCUGGCGGCGUGCCUAAUACAUGCAAGUCGAGCGAACGGACGAGAAGCUUGCUUCUCUGAUGUUAGCGGCGGACGGGUGAGUAACACGUGGAUAACCUACCUAUAAGACUGGGAUAACUUCGGGAAACCGGAGCUAAUACCGGAUGAUAUUUUGAACCGCAUGGUUCAAAAGUGAAAGACGGUCUUGCUGUCACUUAUAGAUGGAUCCGCGCUGCAUUAGCUAGUUGGUAAGGUAACGGCUUACCAAGGCAACGAUGCAUAGCCGACCUGAGAGGGUGAUCGGCCACACUGGAACUGAGACACGGUCCAGACUCCUACGGGAGGCAGCAGUAGGGAAUCUUCCGCAAUGGGCGAAAGCCUGACGGAGCAACGCCGCGUGAGUGAUGAAGGUCUUCGGAUCGUAAAACUCUGUUAUUAGGGAAGAACAUAUGUGUAAGUAACUGUGCACAUCUUGACGGUACCUAAUCAGAAAGCCACGGCUAACUACGUG